rnacentral:rRNA from 1 species
GACGAACCGUGCGAACGUUGUUCGGAAUCACUGGGCUUAAAGGGCGCGUAGGCGGACUGCCAAGUCCGGGGUGAAAUCGUUCGGCUCAACCGGACAAGUGCCCCGGAUACUGGCGGUCUGGAGGGAGGUAGGGGCAGCUGGAACUUCCGGUGGAGCGGUGAAAUGCGUUGAUAUCGGAAGGAACGCCGGUGGCGAAAGCGAGCUGCUGGACCUCUUCUGACGCUGAGGCGCGAAAGCUAGGGGAGCAAACGGG